rnacentral:rRNA from 1 species
GACGAACGCUGGCGGCGUGCCUAAUACAUGCAAGUCGAGCGAUGAGAAGUGGUGCUUGCACCAAUUUGGAUAGCGGCGGACGGGUGAGUAACGCGUGGGGAAUCUACCUUUGAGAGUGGGAUAACAUCUGGAAACGAAUGCUAAUACCGCAUAACAUCUUUAACCACAAGGUUUAAGAUUGAAAGAUGCAAUUGCAUCAACCUAUAAUUAUACCGCGUCGUCUUAGCUAGUUGGUAAGGUAAAGGCUCACCAAGGCAAUCAUGCGUAGCCGACCUGAGAGGGUGAUCGCCCACACUGGAACGGGAACACGGCCCAGACUCCUACGGGAGGCAGCAGUAGGGAAUCUUCGGCAAUGGGCGAAAGCCUGACGGAGCAACGCCGCUGGAGUGAUGAAGGUCUUCGGAUCUUAAAACUCGUUUAUUAGGGAAGAACAAAGGUGUAAGUAACAAUGCACGUCUUGACGGUACCUAAUCAGAAAGCCACGGCUAACUACGUG